GAUUCUUCGGAUGAAGAGAUUUGUGACUGAGUGGCGGACGGGUGAGUAACGCGUGGGUAACCUGCCUCAUACAGGGGGAUAACAGUUAGAAAUGACUGCUAAUACCGCAUAAGACCACAGAGCCGCAUGACUCGGUGGGAAAAACUCCGGUGGUAUGAGAUGGACCCGCGUCUGAUUAGGUAGUUGGUGGGGUAACGGCCUACCAAGCCAACGAUCAGUAGCCGACCUGAGAGGGUGACCGGCCACAUUGGGACUGAGACACGGCCCAAACUCCUACGGGAGGCAGCAGUGGGGAAUAUUGCACAAUGGGGGAAACCCUGAUGCAGCGACGCCGCGUGAGCGAAGAAGUAUUUCGGUAUGUAAAGCUCUAUCAGCAGGGAAGAAAAUGACGGUACCUGACUAAGAAGCACCGGCUAAAUACGUGCCAGCAGCCGCGGUAAUACGUAUGGUGCAAGCGUUAUCCGGAUUUACUGGGUGUAAGGGGAGCGUAGACGGCUGUGUAAGUCUGAAGUGAAAGCCCGGGGCUCAACCCCGGGACUGCUUUGGAAACUAUGCAGCUAGAGUGUCGGAGAGGUAAGUGGAAUUCCCAGUGUAGCGGUGAAAUGCGUAGAUAUUGGGAGGAACACCAGUGGCGAAGGCGGCUUACUGGACGAUGACUGAC
rnacentral:rRNA from 1 species